rnacentral:rRNA from 1 species
UACGAGGGGUGCAAGCGUUGCUCGGAAUUAUUGGGCGUAAAGGGUAGGUAGGUGGUCUCAUUUGUCUGGGGUGAAAUCCUUGGGCUUAACCUAAGAAGUGCCUCAGAAACGGUGAGACUGGAGUCCUGGAGAGGGUCGUGGAAUUCCGAGUGUAGAGGUGAAAUUCGUAGAUAUUCGGAAGAACACCAGUGGCGAAGGCGACUUACUGGACACAUAUUGACGCUGAGGUGCGAAAGCGUGGGGAGCAAACAGG